rnacentral:rRNA from 1 species
UACGUAGGGUGCGAGCGUUAAUCGGAAUUACUGGGCGUAAAGCGUGCGCAGGCGGUUUGGUAAGACAGGCGUGAAAUCCCCGAGCUCAACUUGGGAAUGGCGCUUGUGACUGCCAGGCUAGAGUAUGGCAGAGGGGGGUAGAAUUCCACGUGUAGCAGUGAAAUGCGUAGAGAUGUGGAGGAAUACCGAUGGCGAAGGCAGCCCCCUGGGACGUCACUGACGCUCAUGCACGAAAGCGUGGGGAGCAAACAGG